CGGCGGACGGGUGAGUAAUGUAUGGGGAUCUGCCUGAUGGCGGGGGAUAACUACUGGAAACGGUAGCUAAUACCGCAUAAUGUCUACGGACCAAAGCGGGGGGACCUCCGGGCCUCGCGCCAUCAGAUGAACCCAUAUGGGAUUAGCUAGUAGGUAAGGUAACGGCUUACCUAGGCGACGAUCCCUAGCUGGUCUGAGAGGAUGACCAGCCACACUGGAACUGAGACACGGUCCAG
rnacentral:rRNA from 1 species